GUAAAGGGCUCGCAGGCGGUUUCUUAAGUCUGAUGUGAAAGCCCCCGGCUCAACCGGGGAGGGUCAUUGGAAACUGGGGAACUUGAGUGCAGAAGAGGAGAGUGGAAUUCCACGUGUAGCGGUGAAAUGCGUAGAGAUGUGGAGGAACACCAGUGGCGAAGGCGACUCUCUGGUCUGUAACUGACGCUGAGGAGCGAAAGCGUGGGGAGCGAACAGGAUUAGAUACCCUGGUAGUCCACGCCGUAAACGAUGAGUGCUAAGUGUUAGGGGGUUUCCGCCCCUUAGUGCUGCAGCUAACGCAUUAAGCACUCCGCCUGGGGAGUACGGUCGCAAGACUGAAACUCAAAGGAAUUGACGGGGGCCCGCACAAGCGGUGGAGCAUGUGGUUUAAUUCGAAGCAACGCGAAGAACCUUACCAGGUCUUGACAUCCUCUGACAAUCCUAGAGAUAGGACGUCCCCUUCGGGGGCAGAGUGACAGGUGGUGCAUGGUUGUCGUCAGCUCGUGUCGUGAGAUGUUGGGUUAAGUCCCGCAACGAGCGCAACCCUUGAUCUUAGUUGCCAGCAUUCAGUUGGGCACUCUAAGGUGACUGCCGGUGACAAACCGGAGGAAGGUGGGGAUGACGUCAAAUCAUCAUGCCCCUUAUGACCUGGGCUACACACGUGCUACAAUGGACAGAACAAAGGGCAGCGAAACCGCGAGGUUAAGCCAACCCCACAAA
rnacentral:rRNA from 1 species